rnacentral:misc_RNA from 1 species
CUUAGGAGUUUUAUUUUUUUUUUUGCUCCUCUUUUCAUUUGAUGCAUUUUUUUUGCAAACUUUCUUUCACUUUUCAUUUCAUUGAACUCAAAUUGAUUUCUUUUUGUGCCCAUUCCCUUUGAUAACAAAAAUGUGGUAGAACAUGGAUGAAUGAUGGAUGGAUGCAUGGUUUCAAGGGUCACCUUGGAAUAAACGGUAACCAAGGAGUUAUCACACCACAAGGUACUCUUGACUAGGCCUUAAUCCAUGGGUCAAAGGAUACUAGCAUGACACAUCCUAGGGCGUUUUAGAAGUAUUCUAAUGAGCAAAGUUUGAAGAAGAAAAAGUAUCUAUAAGGGCCUUAUAUACACUUGUCAAGCUUUCCAAAUAGAUGUUUUCACAAAAUUUUCCUAAAAUGCAACUACAUGCCAUGGUACAACUAACAUUUAUACAACCUAAUGCAUAUGCUUCUACCAACUAGUAUGCCAUAUAAACUAAAUGCAACUUUUACCAUCACAUUGGUGUAAACCGCAUCAAUCAAAAUAAAGCCACAUAGUCAUUAAUAUAGAGAGAAAAAGGGAGAUUAGAAAGAUCAUACCAUGCGGUCUUCAUAAUCCUCAAGUCUCGGAUGUGGCGUAGUCGAUCAAUGUGAUAGAAGGACAAACAAACACAAUAUAUACAAUAUAUACAAUUCUACACUAUAAAGGAAUGAACAUGUUUUUGGUCUUUCAAUUUUUCAAAUUUUUAUGGUUUUUGCGUUUAUGAAAAUAAAAGAACAUAUUUUUGUAUUUUUCAAAAAAUUUCAAUUUUUAUCAUUUUUUUUAAAAGUCAAGUUAGAAUUUCCAAUCUCCACACUAGUAUGGGCAUUGUCCUCAAUGGCCAAAAUGAUAGGAAAUUAUGCAAGCUAAAUGAGAGUGCAUGAUUUUUAUACUACUUUGCAAACUACAUGACAUAUACACAAGUGAUGCAUUUUAGAUUACACUAAAUAAUGCAUGAAUUUAUUGGUUGGAGAGCUAAUUUAAAUUAACUCCCAAUGCUUGUGCUUGAACUUCCCGAAACAAAGUAAGAUACUAUUUCUUGUGUAAAAAUGGGGGAGUUCAUGCACAAGUAUGCAAUGCAUAAAACUAGUUUGUCAUUUUGGAUUUUCAAAAGUGGGAACAAUAUGAGACACCUCAAUGAGACCGAGGUCGGUGAUGUGACCAUUAUUUGGACACAUUUAGUCCCCUAAUUGAGCCUAUUUUGCAUACUAUUAUAGCAUUCUUUGGCCAUUUUAUCCGUCAAAACCUUCCUAUUUGCUUUUCUAUCGCAUUCUAUAUGUUUUGUAGGAAAAAAGAGAAUAAGGCGGAAAUUCCCGUCUUUCGUGCAUAUUCGGAAGCUAUUUGACGACAUUUGAUGGAUUACUAUGAGGAGGAAGCAAGAACUGAAGACCAAGCCUACAAGAAUAAAAUGGAAGUGAAGGAAAGGGAAGAAUAGAAAAAGAAAAUGUAAACCGAAGUCCAACCCGAGCGGAUUCUCUGAAAUCCGGCCGUCCACAACGCACGGAACCCGUGCGUCUUCUCCCCAAUCCGCCCGUUUUCCUCUUCACCAAUCCGCCCGGAUUCUCCCAAAAACGCUCGGAUUCCAGCCCAGCGCAUUUUCGUCUUCUUCAAGCCUCAGAGAAAGACGCCCUUCCUUCAAGAAAUACCGGCUCCUCCCUGCUCCAUUUAAAAAGUGUAAUUACUAGUUUAGCCCUUAGUUAACCCUAAUGCAUCCACCUAAUUUCUACUAUAAAUACCCCAUUUGUAAUAAUCAAACAAGGAAGUUUUACUAAGGGGAAUCUUUUUAGCUAGAAGAUAUAUCCUUAGAUUAGAUUAGGAGUAGAUUAGAAUAGAUUACUCUUUAAUCUUUCCACAAAUUACACAUUAAUCUUUCCAUAAUUAUUGUUCAAGUUUAUUAGUUCAAGUAAGUUUAUUAUUUAAGUUU